GCCCUGAUAGCUUAUUAUAAAGCAUUGGUCUUGUAAACCAAAGACUGUAGGCCUAAUCUCUACUCAGGGCU
rnacentral:tRNA from 1 species